AUCGACCGGGUAAGCCACAACUGGUUGGAACGCAACUCCUUGAUGUCGUUGAAGUGAGACUUGUCGAUGACUUCCUGAGUCCUCUUGUCCGCGUGGUACUCCCUUUGCAUAACAACCGCGGAAUCCAGCUUCGACUCGAUGAUGUCCAGCCUCCGGCUGAUAUCGGUCAAUGUGGGUUGCCAUUCGG
rnacentral:misc_RNA from 1 species